UGUAUACUCCCUCCGUCCGAAAAAGCUUGUCACUCAAAUGAAUGUAUCUAGCACUAACUUGGUGAUAGAUACAUCCAUUCGAGGGACAAGCUUUUUCGGAUGGAGGGAGUAGAUU
rfam:Triticum aestivum genome assembly, contig: Triticum_aestivum_CS42_TGACv1_scaffold_542472_6DS